rnacentral:tRNA from 1 species
GGCUUGUGGCUCAGUGAUAGAGUGCUCGCCUAGCAUGUGUGAGGCACUGGGUUCGAUCCUCAGCACCA